AACUUCCUCUUCGAGGAAGAUUUUACUCUAUAUGCUACAGUACAUGUAUACUAUAUACAAUAUUUCGAGUAAAGUUUUCCUCAGAGAGGAAGUUUUGGAACGUAGCUCUAAUUACAUUUGACGCUGGAAGACUUAUUGGCUUAGUUUACACCGAAGGUUCGAUCCGAGUCGGAAUGUAAGAACCAACCAACUGCAGUCCAGCAGUUCCCUUGUCAUUCAACUGUAACGGGUACAGUCAACGUGAUGCUGUAAAUGCUUUGAAGUUGGUCUUUUAGUUGGUUAGUUUGUAAAAUUUUUUCUUCUAAUUGGUUCAUCAGAUAUUUCAAAGCAUUUGUAGCAAGACUUUGACCAUAGCCACAGAGGUAUGUUGGACUGCAGUUGUUUGGUUCUUGCAUUCUGACCCGGAUCGAACCCUCGGUGUAAACUAGGUCGUUGUAAGGCGAAAGUGACUUUCUUCUUGGGACGUUUUUAACACUGGUUAAUUGUUGUUGGACGAAUUGGAUGUUUGCCUCUAAGGUCGCAUUACAUGUCUCAUAGAGAACCUAUAAUAAGAGACUCGCCAACAUGACUCGAAUCGCAGAUUGGUUUGAUACGGAAUCGAUAUAUAAAAACAAUGCAUUAAUCGUGUUGAAUUUCAUUUCUCUUCCUUUGAAAAAUGUGAUUUGUCAAACUCUGCAAAAUGGACCUCUGUUUCGGUGAUGACUUCCUCAUUUGAUGAGAAUUUCUUUCCACCGAGCCAUUUUUUCAAGUUUGGAAACAAGAAGUCACAGGGGGUUAAAUCCGAGUACGGUGGAUGCGGCAGCAAUUCGACCAAUUUGGCUGUGGCGACUGCGGAGUGAGCCGAUGCAUUGUCCUGAUCGGGCCGACAGCUUUUUUAUUCCCAAGUUAUUAUGCAAAAUAUUGAAUGCCGUUCUGUACGACACGUCUACGGUCAACGUUCUAUGGCCUCUGCUACUUCAUGUAUUUUCGUUCGGCGAUCAGCGAGAAUUAUGUCGUGGACUUUUUCAACGAUUUCCUCAAUAACCACGUCUCCAGGAUGGCCUGGGCGUUCCUCAUCAAAAAUAGACGAACGACCACGUUUGAAUUCGUUGAACUAAUAUCUGUCAUAGAUGGUGAAGAGUUCCUAUAGACGGCAUCUAACUUUGUUUUUAUUUCUUUGCACGUUUUUCUAUUCAAAAAUAAGAAACGAAUCACGGAUCGAUAUUGCUCUUUUUCCAUUGUAUCGAAAAACAUCAAACACGCUCACUACAAAUUGUUGUCAAAUCAAGACUAUUGCAUGAAUCACUCUGAAAUUUUGUAUGGCUUUGAAAGAUGGUAAUACAUGAUGGUAAUGCCAAUUUGCAUCAGCAA